AGUGAACGCUGGCGGUAGGCCUAACACAUGCAAGUCGAACGGCAGCACAGUAAGAGCUUGCUCUUACGGGUGGCGAGUGGCGGACGGGUGAGGAAUACAUCGGAAUCUACUUUUUCGUGGGGGAUAACGUAGGGAAACUUACGCUAAUACCGCAUACGACCUACGGGUGAAAGCAGGGGAUCUUCGGACCUUGCGCGAUUGAAUGAGCCGAUGUCGGAUUAGCUAGUUGGCGGGGUAAAGGCCCACCAAGGCGACGAUCCGUAGCUGGUCUGAGAGGAUGAUCAGCCACACUGGAACUGAGACACGGUCCAGACUCCUACGGUAGGCAGCAGUGGGGAAUAUUGGGCAAUGGGCGCAAGCCUGAUCCAGCCAUACCGCGUGGGUGAAGAAGGCCUCCGGGUUGUAAAGCCCUUUUGUUGGGAAAGAAAAGCAGCAGGUUAAUACCCCGCUGUUCUGACGGUACCCAAAGAAUAAGCACCGGCUAACUUCGUG
rnacentral:rRNA from 1 species